AGAGUUUGAUCCUGGCUCAGGAUGAACGCUGGCGGCGUGCUUAACACAUGCAAGUCGAACGGGGAACCCCUGACGGAGGAUUCGUCCAACUGAAGGGAAUUCCUAGUGGCGGACGGGUGAGUAACGCGUGAGGAACCUGCCUUGGAGUGGGGAAUAACAGCCCGAAAGGGCUGCUAAUACCGCAUGAUGCACAAUGGCUGCAUGGCCGAUGUGCCAAAGAUUUAUCGCUCUGAGAUGGCCUCGCGUCUGAUUAGCUAGUUGGUGGGGUAACGGCCCACCAAGGCGACGAUCAGUAGCCGGACUGAGAGGUUGGCCGGCCACAUUGGGACUGAGACACGGCCCAGACUCCUACGGGAGGCAGCAGUGGGGAAUAUUAGGCAAUGGGCGCAAGCCUGACCCAGCAACGCCGCGUGAAGGAAGAAGGCUUUCGGGUUGUAAACUUCUUUUCUUAGGGACGAAGGAAGUGACGGUACCUAAGGAAUAAGUCCGGCUAACUACGUGCCAGCAGCCGCGGU
rnacentral:rRNA from 1 species